GCCUAACACAUGCAAGUCGAGCGGUAGCACAGAGAGCUUGCUCUCGGGUGACGAGCGGCGGACGGGUGAGUAAUGUCUGGGAAACUGCCUGAUGGAGGGGGAUAACUACUGGAAACGGUAGCUAAUACCGCAUAAUGUCGCAAGACCAAAGUGGGGGACCUUCGGGCCUCAUGCCAUCAGAUGUGCCCAGAUGGGAUUAGCUAGUAGGUGGGGUAACGGCUCACCUAGGCGACGAUCCCUAGCUGGUCUGAGAGGAUGACCAGCCACACUGGAACUGAGACACGGUCCAGACUCCUACGGGAGGCAGCAGUGGGGAAUAUUGCACAAUGGGCGCAAGCCUGAUGCAGCCAUGCCGCGUGUAUGAAGAAGGCCUUCGGGUUGUAAAGUACUUUCAGCGGGGAGGAAGGCGAUAAGGUUAAUAACCUUGUCGAUUGACGUUACCCGCAGAAGAAGCACCGGCUAACUCCGUGCCAGCAGCCGCGGUAAUACGGAGGGUGCAAGCGUUAAUCGGAAUUACUGGGCGUAAAGCGCACGCAGGCGGUCUGUCAAGUCGGAUGUGAAAUCCCCGGGCUCAACCUGGGAACUGCAUUCGAAACUGGCAGGCUAGAGUCUUGUAGAGGGGGGUAGAAUUCCAGGUGUAGCGGUGAAAUGCGUAGAGAUCUGGAGGAAUACCGGUGGCGAAGGCGGCCCCCUGGACAAAGACUGACGCUCAGGUGCGAAAGCGUGGGGAGCAAACAGGAUUAGAUACCCUGGUAGUCCACGCCGUAAACGAUGUCGAUUUGGAGGUUGUGCCCUUGAGGCGUGGCUUCCGGAGCUAACGCGUUAAAUCGACCGCCUGGGGAGUACGGCCGCAAGGUUAAAACUCAAAUGAAUUGACGGGGGCCCGCACAAGCGGUGGAGCAUGUGGUUUAAUUCGAUGCAACGCGAAGAACCUUACCUGGUCUUGACAUCCACAGAACUUACCAGAGAUGGUUUGGUGCCUUCGGGAACUGUGAGACAGGUGCUGCAUGGCUGUCGUCAGCUCGUGUUGUGAAAUGUUGGGUUAAGUCCCGCAACGAGCGCAACCCUUAUCCUUUGUUGCCAGCGGUUAGGCCGGGAACUCAAAGGAGACUGCCAGUGAUAAACUGGAGGAAGGUGGGGAUGACGUCAAGUCAUCAUGGCCCUUACGACCAGGGCUACACACGUGCUACAAUGGCAUAUACAAAGAGAAGCGACCUCGCGAGAGCAAGCGGACCUCAUAAAGUAUGUCGUAGUCCGGAUUGGAGUCUGCAACUCGACUCCAUGAAGUCGGAAUCGCUAGUAAUCGUAGAUCAGAAUGCUACGGUGAAUACGUUCCCGGGCCUUGUACACACCGCCCGUCACACCAUGGGAGUGGGUUGCAAAAGAAGUAGGUAGCUUAACCUUCGGGAGGGCGCUUACCAC
rnacentral:rRNA from 1 species